rnacentral:lncRNA from 1 species
CCGACGAUUUGGGACAUUUUUUGGGUUGAACAAGGAGUCUUAAUCAUGGUCUAAGUCGUGAUUAAGACCUAUAAAAAGCCCUGUACAUGGAACAGAGGCAGUGUGGUUCGAUUUUUUGCACCAUACGGAGCCAUACGGAACCCGAAAGAAGAGAGAGGUAGAAGCAUUGAAAGAGAAAGAGCAGGAGGCUCCUGGACAGCGGUCGCCAGGCACUUCAGGGGUUCAAGGGGUCUUCCAAGAGAGAGAGCUUUUGAGAGAAAAACUUCUAGAGAGAGAAUUGGGUGUACAAGGAUUGAGGGUGAUGUCUCCUCUU